UUGAAUUGAUUAAACCUAAUAUGUCUUGUCUAAUUAGAUGUUUACAUUUUAGGUCCUUCUUUCAUUUUUUGACCAGCGUUUGUGCAAUUAUUGGUGGUGUCUUCACAGUGGCCAGUCUGAUAGAUUCCGUUGUGUACCACUCAUCCAGAGCAAUCCAGAAGAAGAUAGAACUUGGCAAACUGAACUGAUUCUUCUCUCAAGAUUUUAGAAAAAAAAAAAGUUAUUUUUACCCAUUUGUUUUUUUAAUAACUAUAUCAAAUUUCAAUAUAACAUUUCUUCCAUAUCUGAAAGUAUUUUAUAUUGCAAUACACAAAGGAAUAAAAAUAAACAUUAUAAAAUCCUAUGUAUUAUUAGUAUAAUCUACCUUUAUUGCUGAUGUUGUACAAAAUACAGCCAUAGUCAACCAGGCCUAUUUAAUACUAGCAGUCACUUUUAUCUCAAUAAUCAUAGAGUCUGCUUAAGGGAAGUGUUUUAAGCUCUUAGGACAAAUGUCAGUAGGGGGUGUGAACUGAUGUCAGGCUUUAUACUGUGAUUUUCUUCCUAACAAGAUUCUGAUGUAUAUAUAUAUCUCCACACUGACAAAUUUGUUGUUUGUAGACCAACCACCAACUCAAAGGCCUAGUGAAAAAUGAAUUGUUAUCAAACCCUCAACUUGUACUUUUCAUCAAAUUUUCAACUUUGCCUAAAACAAACAAACUUGUUUUCUGUUAGUAACCAGACCAUCCGCUUGUUCAAGUUCUGUUUGCCAUAUUGUAUUUCUAGAAAAGUAAAUAUAUAAAGAUGAUAAUAGAAAAGAACCUUCUGCUGACAAUAAAAAUGGUUGACUUAGAAACUAUGAUAACGUAGAAGUUAAAAAAAAAGGUAAAACAUUUUCAUAAGAAACCUAUACUUACUUUCUUAGUGGGUACUUGAAAACAAAAAAUUGACUGAGAUUUAUAGUGAUAAUGUUGGUGUAGAAAUUUUAAAAUUUAUCAAAAUAAUUUUACAUAAUACUAUCAGGUAUGAAAAAAGUUUGUUUUUAAAUGUUAUAAUCACAACUAUAAAGUAAAUGAAAUUUAAAAUGUGUUCAAAAGGGAUACAUAAACUACCAUUAAUAUUAAACACUUAACAUAAUCUCUAGAUGUUGUAUUAUAAAAACGUAUCAUUAUUUUUAUACCCAUUUUUUUUCUUACUUCUCCUCGCUAUCAUUUUAAUAUUAAUGAGGUAUCUGACAGAAUAAAUCUUUUAUUGUCUGUCUGUUAGUGGAUUGAUAUAAACAAUUUUGUAUACUCGUGUAUUUAUAUAUAUAUAUAUAAAAGUGUAAAUGCAAAUCUGUAAACUUUUCAGUAUUCUUUCUGUUAUCUUAUCCAAUGAAUAAAUUCCUUAACAUGCA